CCUACGGGUGGCAGCAGUGAGGAAUAUUGGUCAAUGGCCGGGAGACUGAACCAGCCAAGCCGCGUGAGGGAGGAAGGUACAGAGUAUUGUAAACCUCUUUUGUCAGGUAACAAAGGCGGGGACGUGUCCCUCGAUGAGCGUACCCGAAGAAAAAGCAUCGGCUAACUCCGUGCCAGCCGCCGCAGUAAUACGGAGGAUGCGAUCGUUAUCCGGAUUUAUUGGGUUUAAAGGGUGCGGAGGCGGUCUGGUCAGGCAGCGGUCAAAGCCCGGGGCUCAACCCCGGCCCGCCGUUGAAACUGGCAGUCUGGAGUUGGAGAGAAGUAUGCGGAAUGCGCGGUGUAGCGGUGAAAUGCAUAGAUAUCGCGCAGAACUCCGAUUGCGAAGGCAGCAUGCCGGCGCCACACUGACGCUGAGGCACGAAAGCGUGGGUAUCGAACAGGAUUAGAUACCCUUGUAGUC
rnacentral:rRNA from 1 species